GAAGUCCAUUGGCUCAGAGUGACUGG
rnacentral:piRNA from 1 species